GACCUUCUCUUCCAACUCCUUCUCCACAAACAGUAGUCACCACUUUUAGCAAACCUCAACUCAGACGCACCCAAAUAGCACUGCCAACAGCAUCCACCAUUUCAAUCCUCGCUCUCUUCGCCCCUCCUAACGAAGCCAAAGCCGCUGUCUCCAUCGCCAAGGACCAGAUUGUUUCAUCUCUCACCCAAGUAAAUUCUUUCCAUUUUCUCGCCUACCCAUUAUCUGGAAUAGCUCAUACCAUUUCUUUAUCCUUUAAAAAAUCUAACUUUUUCUUUACAGGUGGAGAAAACGAUUGAUCAGGUUCAGGAAGUGGGUUCGAGUGUUCUGGACACGGCACAGCGUGUUGCUGAGGUAAUUGGGAAUGCUUUGAAGCCUGGCAUCGAAACGGCGUUACCAAUAGUGCAGCAAGCUGGGGAAGAGGCCUUGAAAAUUGCUUCCCCUGCCAUUUCUGAAGCUUCCAGAAAGGCCCAGGAGGCGCUUCAAAGCUCUGGUGUUGAUACCCAACCUGUUAUCACUGCUGCUAAGGUUUAUUUCCUCAAUUCCAACUUUCUACUUUCUUUAGGCUUUGUUUCAAGGGGUAUUUGUUGUUUCUGCACUCACUGAACUAACUACAAUGCUGGUUAGUCAUUUGGUAGGAUGAAUAUAUAUUGCAGUGUUGUGUUCUAAAUAAUUUUUUGGGAUGCAAAACCAUUCCCUUUUAAUGCCUCUACUGGUUGGAAGCCAAUCAUGGUGGGUUGAGGUCCUUUUUCCUACUUUCACUUGUCCCAAUUGCAGCCUGUAGUGUCUUUAGAUUAAGAUAUGCGAUUUAAAAUGGUAAAGUACAUGCUAUAUGGAUAAAGUAUAGACACAAUCAAACACAAUGAUAAUUUUUGUUCUCACAAUGGAAUAUCGUGUUAAGAAAGACCAGUCCUUUAAAUGGAAUUUAGUAUCUUUAGAAACUACUCUUUGGUUCUCAAUGAAAUUGUGUUCACCUUAAACUAGAACAUGUUAAGAAUUCAAUAAAUUUAUAAUUGGUUAUAUGCAUGCAUUUUAUAUUAUUUCGUUAACAGUUGAUUUAAUCAAUGAUUAUAACUAUAUUUUACCCCGUAAGAUGCCAUUGUAUUACCUUGGACUGCAAAGCCUUUAAAAGCAUUUGAUGUGAUAUAUUUUCCUUUGAAUUGGACAAGUUAUCUUUUUCUCAAUUUCCUUUUCAAAGAUUCUGUCUGAUGCUGCCAUGUUGUUCCAUUAUGGGGAUUCAGAAGUUUUGUAGAACGUAUUGUGCUGGCUUAGGCUAAGUACUCAACCUAAAUUAAAAAUUCCCGUUUCAGCUAUCAAGAAGUUCUCUUCUCAUCAUUUUGCUAAUUUGCUUGACAUUUGAAAAGCCAAGUUUAUGAACCUGAUCAGGAUACUCUCUUUGAUUUCAGACAGUGGUAGAUGCUGCACAACAAACGACCAAGGUGAUUGAUGUUGCCAAGCCAAUAGCUUCCUCAACCGUUGAAACCAUAUCCUCUUCAGACCCUACUGUGAUUGCUGGAGCUGCUGGAGCACUAUUUGUUGCCUACCUCCUGAUUCCUCCUGUCUGGUCUGUCAUCUCCUCUAAUCUUCGUGGUUACAAAGG
rnacentral:lncRNA from 1 species